CACUACAAAGAUUAUGUUUUUUCAGUCAGGGUGUAAUCAUUGUUGCACUUACUGUACAGUUUCCAUAUCAAAGUAUUGUUUUAUACCAGUCUUUUGUAUGCAGGAAUAAAUAUGUACAUUACGCAACAACAUCUUAUGGAUGAAUAACAUUUGUAAAGCAGGUUUACAUCUAAUGCAACUUUAUCUUCUGUAACAAAGCUGCUGAAGAGGAUUAUGCUGCUGUUGCCACAGAAACUUAGUGACCAGUAGAAAGAGAGAGUGGAGAGGGGUGGGGAGUCCACGAGGACAGUAGAAGCAGGCAGAGAGGUGAUUCUACUAGUAGACAAUCCUUCACCCAAACAGCAGAUACUGUUUUUUUUUUGAAGGCAACACAGAUUUUCAAGAGUCCACCCAGUCCGCCACCAUGCUGCACCCUUUAAUUAUCGCCAUCAUGACCGUCAACACCUCCCUAACCGUCGUCUACUGGGGCUUCAUCUUGAGCGAUGUCUACUUCAAGUGGAUAAUGGAGCCAGAAGACAAACCCAAAAAGGUGGUCACCCCGGCCUGAGGCAGUCGGAGUCGAUAUGGAUCUAGCUGACUGAAUGACUGGAAGUUAUUUCGCUUAGGACUAGUCUGCAAGAGCAGUUCAGCUUCUAGUGCUUACUGUGGGGUCGCAUUUACAUUCACCCUGCUUUUUAUUUUUCUUUCUUUUUUUUUACUUGGAGAAGACUUGGAAAUCCACCUUAACUUAAUAAAAUACUAAUCUAAGUGAAUCCUGCAAGUAAAUGAGGAAGAAGUCCCUCUUACAGAACCGUCUCCAUACAAUACACACCAGUUUGGAAGUCCUUUCAUCCAGAAGAGAAGAGCUACAGAGAAAUUUCAUGUUUUGACUUCAGACUGGAUGUUCGGGCCCAAACCAGUGGAGGAUGACUCAGAGGGAGGACGAGGAGAAAUAGAGGAAGAGCGGUGCCUCAGCAAUCCCACUAAGCAGCUGGACAAUGACAAGCUGAGGAUGGAGAAAGAAAAGGACGGACCGCUGCCGGGUUUCCACCAAGGCCGUCCGUUCACUCCUCCUCCUCUGAGAAGCGCCAUUGCUCCAUCAUGCCCUGGAGAUAAAAGAAUAUCUAUCCAUAGUGUAACCUUUGCCUGCCCCGCCGCCCCUUACGUCACUUCCCUUUGAGUUCUCAUCACUUUGUCACAGCAGCAGUUCAUAUCAGUUUUUAUCAUUUCGGUGCAGUGAUCAGUGUUUUCUUUGCUGUAAUAGAGCUUUGUUUUAUGUAAAAGCAGAUACUAUAGGUAUAGCUUGUACUGAUUUUACAAGAAAAUACUUUCUUUCAUCUCUUUUUAAAUGUAAACGUGGUCCAGAUUAAUUAUAUUCUACUGUCUUAAUAUUCGCUACCCAGUUUGUCAAGCUACAAAAUGUAAAUGAAAUAUGUAAAAAGAUGUUUAUGUGAGAACGCAAUGUUGACUUUGUGUAUAAGACCAGGCUGAACAUGUUGCAAAAUAUGAAGUAUGAACUGACUUUUUAAGCAUUUUCCACACUGACCAGUGAAACCGUCCCCAUUAUAUGACGUGCUGAUGUGUUCCUGAAGUAAACAUACAUCAGUUUUCCUGUUCUGGUGUUGGACUAAGCUUCUCUCAAGUAAACAACUGAAACAUACAAGUGUGUUGUUGUGUCUUGUCUGCUUUCGUUAAUCCAUCUUACCUUCUUCUAAUACCUGGUUGUGUCAGCGGCAAUGACCUUAUUUAUAAAUGCCAAGGAUUAUUGUACAACAGCCAUUUUAAAUACUGGUCAAUGCUGAUGUAAGCAUGAAAUACAUAGAUAGAUAGAUAGAUAGAUAGAUAGAUAGAUAGAUAGAUAGAUAGAUAGAUAGAUAGAUAGAUAGAUAGAUAGAUAGAUAGAUAGAUAGAUAGAUAGAUAGAUAGAUAGAUAGAUAGAUAGAUAGAUAGAUAGAUAGAUAGAUAGAUAGAUGUAGCAGGUAAAUGCUCCACUUCAUUGAGAUCCUGUACUCACAGUCAUUCUUCUGACCUUGAGCAGUCUACCUCAAGCCGCUGCAGCUAAUCUAAUUUCCUUCUGCGUAGCUCCACAGACAGACAGAUAAGGAGUUUGUUCAGGGAAACAAAAUGAAAAACUCUUCAAGGUGCGAUAUAGCUAUAUGAAUAGAACGCGCUGUAAGAUUAAAUCUUUAUGCUGCGUUCUUAAUACAGCGAUGACAUUGAGACAUUAAGUGGACUCACUGGCUGACAGCAGAGACUACGAGGCUGCGAUGGAUCCACCAGAGGACAGUUUAAACGUUCGUUUCAAGGAGGACGAUGGCACUGUGUUCUUUGAAUCCUACAUCCCACCUUCUCGGGAUGCUAUCCACCUGCCUACCUACGUCCUCUACCUGAUCAUGGCCGUCUUCAUCGUGCUGUCUGUUCUUUAUGCCAUCAUCGGCCACCUCAUCAAAGACCUCAUCCAUGACUGUGCAGACUGGCUGUUCGGGGAGCAGCCAGAGGAAGUGGUGGUGAACUAUUGUGAGGCCAAGGAUAAGUUCAUGGCAGAUUGGUCCCCAGAAACCUCUCCUGAACUGGAGGCAAUGGCCCGGGCAGAAGAGAACAAGGUGCUGGACAGGGACUUCAUGAAAGCUCCUGCCAUCUGGAUCAUCUCUGCAGAACCACGAGGGACCAAGACAGGACCCAAAGUGGUGUUUGGGAAGAAGACUUUGAUGUGAGGGAAAUACAUUUGGAAGAUAAAAUCAGAUUUGAGAUUGUGUUGAUGAUGCAGACUUUGUGUAUUUGAUGUGAUUGGAUGAAUACUGAGAUUGCUGGAUUUGUGGAUGGAAUGAUUGAUGAAUGAAGCUUUACUGUGUAAAACUAGGAAUGUGUUGUUAUGUUGCUCACAAGAGGAGGGAGAUAGGGCCACAUAUGAGCUAAAUGCUUCUGCAGUCUUAUAGGGACCUCUAGUGUCUGCUGCGGUCAUUGCAGCUGAACCACAUAGCACAGAAAAGAUUCAAAUUAGCUUAGCACAGUAGUCACAGUACAAAUCUGCCUUAAGUAAUCUAUGAUUUAAAAUUAUCAUUUCACAGCUUGAGAUAGAACUAAUGAGAAAAAGUGUUUGAUUUAAGGUAAUAUUUAUGCUGACUAUGUUUUAUAGGUGUAAGUCACAUGCAUCAAGAGUAGAUGCCACUGUGUUGGAUGCUACUUUAUUUCUAAUAAAUUGAGCAUCCAAAUAAAGUUCAGUAAAUAAAAAUCUUUUUCAGGUUGCUCUUAAAUAUUUAGAAAUAUAUUUUUAGUUUAUGAAAAAGUCCUAUGCAGCGAAGUGGGGUCCAAGUACUGAAAAUCACAUAAUAACUAACUGUGAACUGUUGUCAGUUUGAUUUAUUCAAUAAAACGAUGAAAUGCAGACAGUGUCACAAUUGUGACAUUGUCAGAAAUGUAUGAAUUCAGUUAUGUGUUUACUAUGGAGGUCAUUGCAGUGGUGGGGGUAUAAUGCAUUUUAUAUUCCGAGGUGUUCCUCCCUACUUACAUACUUGAAGAGGGCAGAUUUUAUUAUUUUUUUUUAUAGUAUUAGGAAUCUGAAAAAAAAAGGUCAAAAAAGACAAUAUGUCCGUUGGAGGGUGAUUUGUUUUUGACAUCUCAAUGCAAAUAAUUAACAGUUUUACAUAUAUCUCGAUAUCUGUCUCUAUCUAUCUGACCAAAUCUAAUAUUAUCAAGGAGGACAGAAUAAUUGCAGCAAAAAAAUGGCAUCAAAAUUUCAGGUCCAGACACUCAAGCUGGGUUUUGCAGGUAAACAGCCAAUAAAAAAAAACACACACACCAACAAGUAUCCACUGCAUCUUCUUCAGGCUGUGGAGAUGCAAAGAAAUCUAGCAAUUACAGCUGCAGUACCCACAAGUGUGCAACACUGACUCCAUUCAUCAUUUUCUCUCUUUUGUCCUCUGGGAGCAUCAUACAACUAAUACAACGCAGGAAAUACAAAACUAAAGCCCUCUCACAGGCUGUUGAAAAACACUUUCCUCGGUAGGGAUGGUGUAGACAACAGGAAACAAACAUUUAGAUCAACAUAAGUAACUAAGAUAAAGCCACAAAUAAAGAUUCACUCCAACAACAACAAUAUCAGUUUAUGGUAUCUUAAAUGAAGAAAUCAGGUUUAGCACACUCAAGGGAUGUUUAGAGGGGAAAAACACUCAGAAAUAUCAAGACAAGAAGACAAAAAUAAAGAAUAAUGACCCUAAUUUCCAACCCAGGUCAUGACUAAAAGACAGAUACAAGGUCAAAAUCCUCUUCAAGGGAAGUGAU
ensembl:lncRNA